rnacentral:rRNA from 1 species
CCUACGGGUGGCAGCAGUGAGGAAUAUUGGUCAAUGGGCGCGAGCCUGAACCAGCCAAGUCGCGUGAGGGAAGACGGUCCUCUGGAUUGUAAACCCCUUUUGUCGGGGAGCAAAAGACGCCACGCGUGGCGUUCCGAGAGUACCCGAAGAAAAAGCAUCGGUUAACUCCGUGCCAGCCGCCGCGGUAAUACGGGGGAUGCGAGCGUUAUCCGGAUUUGUUGGGUUUAAAGGGUGCGCAGGGGGAAGAUCAAGUCAGCGGUAAAAUUGAGAGGCUCAACCUCUUCGAGACGUUGAAACUGGUUUUCUUGAGUGAGUGAGAGGUAUGCGGAAUGCGUGGUGUAGCGGUGAAAUGCGUAGAUAUCACGAAGAACUCCGAUUGCGAAGGCAGCAUACCGGCGCUCAACUGACGCUCAUGCGCGAAAGUGUGGGUAUCGAACAGGAUUAGAUACCCCUGUAGUC